rnacentral:rRNA from 1 species
UACGUAGGUGACCAGCGUUGUCCGGAUUUACUGGGCGUAAAGAGCGCGCAGGCGGUCGUUCAAGUCGCGUGUGAAAGCCCCCGGCUCAACUGGGGAGGGUCACGCGAUACUGAUCGACUCGAAGGCAGGAGAGGGUAGUGGAAUUCCCGGUGUAGUGGUGAAAUGCGUAGAUAUCGGGAGGAACACCAGUGGCGAAGGCGGCGCUCUGGGCCGGUACUGACACUGAGGAGCGAAAGCGUGGGUAGCAAACAGG